GCCCGUAUAGCUCAAGUACUUCCCCCUAUUCCAAAUUCAAAAUCCAAGAGCAUUUAACUAAUUCUUCAACAGUGGUAGAGCGCGUCACUAGUAAUGACGAGGUUGCCGGUUCGAUUCCGUCUAUGGGCA